rnacentral:lncRNA from 13 species
GUCUUGGGAGACGCCAAGCCUUGUGUCUGAGUGACCAGCCGCACAUCACUCAUUGUCAUCUCCUUGGAGCCCCCAGCACCCCAGGCACCCCCUCUCAGUGCCAACGCCAGACUGGAACCAAACUGUCAGUUCUUGGGGUGUAGAGGAUCCCAAGUCCUAACAGGGCUCAAGAAAUGAAGCAGCUGUUGACAGUUCUCAGAGAGUCAUCUCCAACACCCACCUCCUCAUUAGGAACACAGCAGGAGUGAGCUCUAGAAUGGAGCUGGAAUUCCAGAGCUUACCAGUGUUCACAGAAGGUGGGUCGCUAUCACGAGGCCGCUUGGUCUCUGGCAGUCAUCCGCUUGGUUUUCUAGAGAGGAGGAGGAGGGCCGGCACUCUCACUAGAGGAACUGUCACUAUUCUCGAGGGGAGGAAGAAGAGGAGGAGCCAGACAUCUUUCACUGUCGGGACUGGAAGGCUGCUUGUGCUAGCUGCUGCCAUGGUGUUUCGUCAGUGGAGGAUGAGGUGGUUGCUUUGCUGAUGUGGUUAUCAUGGGUAAUUUGGCACGAGCUUGAUCAGAUAAAGAUUUUUUAACUUGAUUGCCAAUUAGGUGAGGAGGAAGGCGGGCUGCCGCCGGCGCCACUAAGAAAUAGCCUAAUUAGAUGCACAACAACUAUAUUGUCUGUCUGCCUCACUUACUACCAUGUAGAUUGGACAACACAAACACUUCACUUGCUACAUUCGGAAAUUUAAAAAGAGGGUUACUGUCAAAAUGAUUUAUUACAUUUUUUUUUCAAAUGUAGACAUAGGUGCGCAUGGGUCCCCAUAGCUCGCGGGGGCAGCGGGGGUUUCCUCUACACCAGUGCAUAUGUUAUAGCAAUCUGGUGCCCAAAGGCACAGUCGAUGACGUGGCUUGCAACCAUUGGUUGAUGUGUGCAAUGUCUGAGCAGGGGUACACUACCAUAAUUUUUUACCCAAUUUCUGCUGGUCACUGAGGUUUACUUAUGAGUGAAUAGAAUCCAUAAUGUGGAUAUGCAGUGGCUUUGAUUUUUAGUCAAGGGUUCUCAUAUCUACACAAUCUGGGCUGAAUCAACAUAGAGAUAGAGCUCCAGAUGCAGGAUCAUACACAGUAUAUCAUCAAUGAACAAUGAAGAAUUUGACUGACACUGACCCAUUUGACUUUUCCAUGGAAUGUAAUCUCAUAUGGUUAUAAUGCCUAUGACUGUCAAGCCUCAGUUUACAAGCUAUGUAAAGUGACCACCUAUUUCAGGUUUUGUGUGUCAUUGUGGGGUAUUUAAGUAGACGGCAGGAUUACAGCGUCUACUCAGUAACAGCUGGCCUGGAAAAGUUGUUAAAUAUGAAUAAACUAAUUUGACUUUUACUCAGAAAGUAGGUAUCAAAUAUACUUAUGUGUUCUAUUACAUUCCAACACUUUAUAAUUAAUAUGGAUUUAAUAUUGAAAGGGUCAGUGUAAGACAUUGUCGAGCAAGGUACACAGCGACAGAACAAAGCAAACGAAUUGCAGUCUUUCUAUUUUGCUACACAUUUACAGAUGUAGGAUCUUAAUGUGAGCCAGUCUCCUACAGUAGGGAAAUAAUCCUGCAGCAACAGGAAAUGUGAAUUAUUAUGUGGAUUAUACUUAAAUAGUAUUUUUGUAGGGGUUGAUACAUUUUUUGUUAUAGCAAAUCAAGCCUGAAAUUUCUAGGUGGAAAUUAUAAACUUUUAGAAGCCUUUUUAAAACUAAAAUACACUACAAGUUUGUAUUUCCUGCCUGGCAGGAAAAUGCUAAUGGACAAAAGAGUGAUCAAAUGAAGAUCCUACAUCUGUAAUGAAAAGUGUAAAAUAUAUAUAAUUUUUUUAAGACAUAUUUUUCUCUGAAAAUAUUUCCUCAUUGU